rnacentral:rRNA from 1 species
GAUGAACGCUGGCGGCGUGCCUAAUACAUGCAAGUCGAGCGAACGGACGAGAAGCUUGCUUCUCUGAUGUUAGCGGCGGACGGGUGAGUAACACGUGGAUAACCUACCUAUAAGACUGGGAUAACUUCGGGAAACCGGAGCUAAUACCAGAUAAUAUUUUGAACCGCAUGGUUCAAAAGUGAAAGACGGUCUUGCUGUCACUUAUAGAUGGAUCCGCGCUGCAUUAGCUAGUUGGUAAGGUAACGGCUUACCAAGGCAACGAUGCAUAGCCGACCUGAGAGGGUGAUCGGCCACACUGGAACUGAGACACGGUCCAGACUCCUACGGGAGGCAGUAGUAGGGAAUCUUCCGCAAUGGGCGAAAGCCUGACGGAGCAACGCCGCGUGAGUGAUGAAGGUCUUCGGAUCGUAAAACUCUGUUAUUAGGGAAGAACAUAUGUGUAAGUAACUGUGCACAUCUUGACGGUACCUAAUCAGAAAGCCACGGCUAACUACGUG